UCUGCAUUGGGAGGACGGCGGUGCCGAUGGUUUGGGAGCUGAAGCCGUUUGGCGAGGAUGGCGGUGGCGGAGGAGGAAGAGGGCGCCGGCGGCUUUCGGUCACAUGGGUCAAAGGAGAGCAAGGGGACGGCAGCACCUUCUUCCCAUCUUCACCUAGAGUGCUAGCUACCUUUCAAACAUGGAAGCUUAGGAGAAAGCAUGUAAACCGAAGACAGGAAGCUUACCUGUUCGAUUCAGCAGAUUUGGUUUGCUCUAUUUGUUAAGAUCUUUCUCUGCUGCACGAGAACUUAGAGAUGUAACAUCAAUGUGGUGGGCAUAGAUCAGAAAGGCAAGUUCUUGUCAAAGGAAAUCUUCACCUACGUAAAGGACUGGCUAAGUUUUGUUGUUCGUUCCCGUUCUCGGGUGCUGUCCGGUGGGUCAGUUGCGCUCUUCAGCGCCUUCGUCUUUGUUGUCUCCUACACCUUUGCCUACACCCUCACCCACUACCACGGCUCCUGCAGCAAGGUAACAGGUCUCUACCUCGCCCGAUCUCCUUCGCCAGUUUAUAUGCAGAUGGACGGCUGCAUGAACAGAAAGACAAUGGUGUCCGAGCUUUGUUGCAUCGCGUUACAGGACGAGAACCUCUUUUAUUUCAUUUCC